UACAGAGGUCUCGAGCGUUAGGCGGAAUCACUGGGCUUAAAGCGUGUGUAGGUGGAUCGUUAAGUACCUUGUGAAAUCCCACGGCUUAACCGUGGAACUGCUUGGUAUACUGGCGGUCUUGAGCCAGCUAGGGGCUACCGGAACAAAUGGUGGAGCGGUGAAAUGCGUAGAUAUCGAGAGGAACACCUGCGGCGAAGGCGGGUUGCUGGGCUGAUACUGACGCUGACAGCGCGAAAGCUAGGGGAGCGAACGGG
rnacentral:rRNA from 1 species